AUGUGCAAGCCAUUUCUGAUAGAAGAAUAUUUGAACAAUCAGUACUUCACCGCGGUAAUCUACAGGAAGGCAAGGAUAACUAUAUUAAACAUUUCACGAGAUCCUUCCAAUUAUUGGCACAAACUCCUUUUCAAGAUAUUACAAGUGUGGUUGUCUACCGGAGAUUAUCAGAUGACUGAUGGUGAUGACAUAUACUUAUAUGCCCAUUAUCGGGUGAUAGCUAUUGUUCUCUACCAAUGGUAUGUUUGCAACUGCAACCCAUAUUCCAAUGAUGGCCAUAGCCGAGACGACAUGCAUCAGCGGGGAGAAUCACCACAACGGACUGCAUCUGCCCAGACGAUUUUUGCAACGGCCACGACGAAGUGCAUCUCUCAAUUCCAGGAUCAGCAUGCUGGAUGA
rnacentral:rRNA from 1 species